UCAGGUCUUCAGCAGAAGCAGGGCAGUUCUCCCAGUGGUUUUCCUUGACUGUGAGGAACUGGCCUGCCGCUUUGCUGGGGAGUGAGCU
rnacentral:pre_miRNA from 1 species